GUGUUCACUUCGGCAGCACAUAUACUAAAAUUGGAAUGAUACAGAGAAGAUUAGCAUGGCCCCUGUGCGAGGAUGACACACAAAUUCGUGAAGCGUUCUAUAUAUAU
rnacentral:snRNA from 1 species